UUCUUUUUGGGAGUUGAGAUUUGUUAAUUUUAUGCAAUGUUUAAACCGUAAUGCUGACAAAAUAACAGGCAUGAUACGUGUUACUAGAUUUGUGUGUAUUCUUGAUAGAUGACUACCUUUUAAUAUCAUGUUAAUUACAAUAAGUAAAUAUAUUUGUCAAUCUUGUUUGGCUUUACAAGAGACCCUUCAAGAUUUGGGGAUGUAAUUAAAUUAUUCUAGUAAUACUAAAAUUGCUCAGCCAUUUGUGGUCAUCUUGUGCACAAUUAAGAGGUCAAAUCAAUGCAAAGCAAAUAAUUAAAUGUUGGCAAAAUGCCAACUCAAGGGACCUCAAACGGGGUGCAGUGAGAAAUUCUAAUAUGCUUCUGGAGAAGUGAUUGAGGAAGAGAAGUCAGCAAAGAUGUUAUGCAGUGUUCCCCUGUACAAACUGUGACCUUGUUUUUCAUAGCAAGUUAUCAGUCCACAAAAUUUCCCACAGGAUGUGAGUAAUGGAGAUGGUGCAGUAAUUAGGGAGGUAUGAUAACAAAUCCUCAGAGGACGAUGUUAUGUCAGUAAACUGUUGGUGGCUUGCAUGGAGACGGGCUCCAUUACAGCUGGAGAGCUAAUAAGAAAAUUCAACUAAUUCUCAUGUCAUGGAAAUGAAACUCCAUAGAGAAAUAUAAUUUUAAAAGGUAAAGGUAAAACUCACUUGUAGUCUAAAUGGUGUCAUUUUCAACAGGCAGGCAGGCGUUUAUACCAUGGCUCCAAAUCGGGGAACAUUAUUAUGUCUUCUCAUUGUGGCCUGUGCAACCUCAGGUGAUGAAGUGCCAGAGUAAAGGAUACCAGGUCCCUAAGAUGAUGCUGCUGAACAGUAUCUCCAGUAACAGUACUUUGCCUUUGGAAGACAAAAACACUGACCCAUCAAACACCCUCCUAUCCUGAAUUCCUGGAGUCCUGAAUUCAGUCACACUAGGCACAAACAAAGACUGGCCGAUUCCCCAUGGAUGGUUCAGAUAAAAUGAUAAACAAGAUGUGGAAUUGCAGCCACCUUUCAAACAUGAUCAGGCUGAUGAGGAACUCCUCUGUACACUGACAUCAAGAUCUUAACAAAAACAUAAUCCACCUAUUUAAUGCUGCUCUCCGUCAGUCUAAUCAUACUUACCAUUGGUCUCAUUUCCGCUGGAGGCAUGUGCAUGUUAUAUGGGAGCCAUUUUGGGCCCUCUGUCCUGGACAAUUUUGACCACACCGGGCAAAAAGAACAUGAGCUCAGAUGACUAUGACACACUGCUAAACCUGCACUACAGGGCAUGCCUUGUUCAGAAAUGUGCCUCCCUAUCAUUGUAGAUGAGGAAAAUAUGAAAAAUAAUGAAAUUGCUGCAGGACGUGUAUCAUCCUGUGUCUGAGGCUCAAAGAACCUCCGUGGCAAAAUGGGCCAAACAACAGAUCAUUCAGAACUACUUCAUCUGUACAAUGAAGCCAUCAUCGGACUCAGACUUGAAACUUGGGAAGCGCUGCAAACCUUCCUUGGAAUGGCUGAACUCUGAUGCAGUGGCCACGAUGGGGACUUGCGUACCUCACCCACUUAGCACCAGAGGAUAUUGAUUUGUGUCCCCAAAAAAGGUGAGGGGGUGCUCAGAGAAGGAUAAAGAGACAAUUAAAAUGAAAAUAGCAGAUAAGAAGACAUUAAUUGGUGGCUCUGUUGGUUCGUUUCCUUUUGAUUUGUCCACUAGCUAUGUGAAUUUUUCCACUCAGACCAGUUCAGUUCCACCUUGAGCAAGGCAACCAAGAUCAAGCCCAGCCUGGGCAUGAAGCUUCUUGAAAAAAUUCAAGGGUGCUUAAGUGGAAAGGAGUAUUUAACACAGUAUGUAGACGAGUGUGUGUUCCUGAAUGAAUGUGUGUACAUGAGGGUAUUAAAACUGUGUGCAUUAGAACACUACUGGAAAAGAACCUAGCCUAACUUUCUCAAAAUGAUUUUCACAUGUCCACUGGUGAGGAUAAAAUAUCCCUGUGGUUUCUGUUCACUGUGUACUCUGUAUGUCACACCACUGUUGUUCUGUUGUUGAGUGCUGUUGUGUUUUGGGGUUUUGAAGUUAGGAAAGGUCCUAAACGAUAUGAGAGCUUUGUUACACUCCAUCAUUAUAAAGGAAAGAGAUACAGUACAUUUAUGACAAGUAUUUUGUAUACACAUGAAUGUUUUUGCCAUUACAGCUGGAUUACAUUUCAAGGCUGGAAUAAUUACUACUGUACAUUGUUGCCUCUGAACCUCCUCAGGCUUGGUUCGCUGGCUUGUUAUUACUUUGAUACUCCAGACUUGACUUCUGACCUCAGCAAGGAAUUACUCUCUCAGCUUGACAACUGCAACUGCAGGCGCUUCGUAAGGAUGCAGAUCCCUCGGAGCUGAUGCAGAGGAUGGAUGGCCCUUUGCUUCAAAGCAUUUCCCUAACCGACCUGAAAAAAGCAAACAUCACCUCUUUGGACCAAGUGGAGAAUAAAACCUGGAGUUGGCCACAGAGGAUGUGUUCAGGCUCGGGCCACUCUUGUGUGAGCUCCCUCCUGCCCAGCUGUGCCUCAUGGCCCCUGAUGUCCUCAACGCCAGCCUCAAGGCUGCAGCUUCUUGCCAGCACAUUCCUCAGCGCCACAGGGCAGAAUUGAUUCAGCUAGUCAUCCAGACUUUUGGGGAUCCAUCUGAUUGGACACCAGAGACUAUGGAAGCACUGGGUCCUCUCCUGCUUUUGGAUGAUAAGGUCACAUCUGCUUUGCCCAAUAAGCCAUGGAUGAAGGACGUCCUCUAUUUCCUGAAGUCACAACUGCCAAUAGCCUCGGACGCCCUGAAAAGGAAACCCUUUGAUCUCACCAUUACCACAGCAAAUGCAGCACACAAAAAGAGAGAAAGUGGGGAAGAGACAUUUUCUGACAGUGCCACUAAUAGCAAUGCUAACAGUACCGGCAACACUCGCAGUGGUAGCAAUAAUACUGUAGUACCAACUGUGGACCUGAUUGAACAUUUGGGAAUGUACAACAACCAUUGGGUGGCUGCACUGCUGGAUAUGAUGAGAAAUGAAACCUUGAUUAAUACUGUAGACAUACUUCCCUAACUAUGAUGCGGACCAAGUGGCCAUCCUCAGGAAAAAAGCAGCUGAGGCCCAGUGUCUCAGAUGAACGAGACUGUGGCAGUGCAGCUCGGCUGUAUAACUCAGGGCUUCUCCAACUCAGAACUGGAGAAUCUCCCAUUCUCACUGGAGUCUCUGGAGGAAUUUGCCCAAUGUCCGUGGAAUCGGUCACAGAUAAGGUGUAUAUGGAAGGCUGCUGCUAAAUACUGUAUAACAAUCUGACGGUCAGAUCAGCUGGGGGCUCCAGAGAUGGUCGCACUCAACUGGUUCCUCUGUGGCUUCAACACCAGCAAGUUGUACCAGCUCAACAAGGAAGCUCUCAAGUUUGUGCAGUUCACAGAACUUCACAACCUACUUUAUAUCCAAUUAAAUUGUCAUACAAAUUGAUGGAAUGAGGGUGUAGCCACACUGAAGCAACCGGUGAUUUUAGAUCAUUAGAGGGGAAAGAAAUGCAUUAUGUCAAAUAUUUAGUCUAGUUAUAUUAUACACCCACCACUGCAGGUAAUGUGAAAAAUAAACAUGAAAUUCUAUUGUCACAUUUAGCUAAAAGUGUUAAGAACUUGUUGUUGUAAAAACUUGUUUUCAUCCCUUCAGUCAUUCUCUAAUGCUCAGCUGGGGAAUAUUGGUCCUGACAAUGCAGCCAUGGUAACUGCUGAACAACAAAAUGCCCUGACAGAGUGACAGAUCAGCAAAAAGGCAUUCUUCAAAGGGCUGCGACUGGUGUUGCUGUCCAAACACAAACAGCCAGUCAGUCUCAUCCAGGAGCUCCAUCCCUGAGUGUCAAGGGGAACUUAUCCUUCAUGUUGCCUCUGCUGCUUCUCCUCAUGGAGCUCCUGCUGCUGCGAGACACCACAUCUAAAUGGAAACCCUGCAGAAGCUUGAGCUCACCACACACAAAAACUUCAUCUUCUAAGAAGUUAGAAUUAUAAAGUACUACCAUUUAAUUCUUCAUGUUUAUCUUACUUGUGAUGAAGACAGGUUUCAGAGCUCAUUCUAGUGAGUGUAGUGUGCACAACAUAGUGUAAUCCAAUA